GUUAUCAAAAUGACAAACCGAAAUCGGCACGAUAAUAACAUUGUAUUAUUGCAGAAAUCGUCCUACAAUAGUAUUGUCAUAAAACUCACACGGGCCAUGUUCGCCUAUCGACAUAGUCUCGGUACAUAAUUGCCUAAUAUAAAAACAUGUCUGGGAUUUCUAUUUUGGCAUAACACGAUUUUUGUAAUUCGGUGAGUAUAUGCCUAUACCGAGUGCCAAUGUACUCGAAAUAAUCGCGGGGUCAGCUAAUUAUAGUAAUGUAUACGUUGG